rnacentral:rRNA from 1 species
AUUGAACGCUGGCGGCAUGCCUUACACAUGCAAGUCGAACGGUAACAGGUUAAGCUGACGAGUGGCGAACGGGUGAGUAAUGUAUCGGAACGUGCCCAGUCGUGGGGGAUAACUACUCGAAAGAGUGGCUAAUACCGCAUACGACCUGAGGGUGAAAGCGGGGGACCGUAAGGCCUCGCGCGAUUGGAGCGGCCGAUAUCAGAUUAGGUAGUUGGUGGGAUAAAAGCUUACCAAGCCGACGAUCUGUAGCGGUUCUGAGAGGACGAUCAGCCACACUGGGACUGAGACACGGCCCAGACUCCUACGGGAGGCAGCAGUGGGGAAUUUUGGACAAGGUGCGUAAGCCUGAUCCAGCAAUGCCGCGUGCAGGAUGAAGGACUUCGGGUUGUAAAGCGCUUUUGUCAGGGAGCAAAGACUGAUGGCUAAUAUCCAUCGGAGUUGAGAGUACCUGAAGAAUAAGCACCGGCUAACUACGUGCCAGCCGCCGCAGUAAGAC